rnacentral:misc_RNA from 1 species
GAAAAUGGUCUCAUAAAGAGAAAAAGUUGCUGUUUAAUCACUGGAAUUUUCGCCACUCAAAAGAUAGCACCCAUACAAGAAACGUCAGGAAGGAGUAAAAAUAAAAUUACAUUUCAGGUUCUCCCCUCACUAAAAUUCAACAAAUAGAUAUUCACAUAUUGAAAGAUCUCGGUCUUGACAACUUUGACAUGAUCGGAGUCUACUUAAACUGAUUUCCUUACCAACAUUUUGUUCUUUCAUCCAAAGCACAAUGAAGAUAUUGCAUCUAGGAGUGAAAGCAAAAUGAAGUAAUUGAAAUUGAAAGUGUCUUAGACACACCCGAGGACAAUGCCGUUAUCCCAUCGCAUAUUUUUGAGUCCAGCUACGAGCAGUGGUCUCGUAUUUGGCCCUGUCAGUCUUG